ensembl:lncRNA
GUUCUGCCAUCCAACCACCACCUGCACCAGAUUUAUCAGAAAUGGAGCUAAAUAAACCCUGAAGGAUUUGGGGUUAAAUGACUCCCUGGGUGGGUCAGAGCAACAAGGACUGGAAGGAAUCAAAGUGGCAGCAAUGAUAGGAGAGCUCGGGCUGUCUGUGGUCUCACUGAUGCAGAGAAGCAGCAGCUGAUGGCACAGCUGUGCUGCAGGGAUGGCCUUGGGACCAUGCAUGACCCCGAGAAGAUGCGCUCAGGAUCUGCGAGCGGCAGUGAGUGCCCAGGACAGGCUGAGAGCCAGGAGGGCUCCUUGCACCUUCCCCGUCCCCACCGACAGACCGCAGCCCCAGCUCGUAGGGGAGGACCGGCUCGGCGGAGCUGCCUGAAGUUGUUUGUUACCCCGGAGCGCCGAGCGUUCAGCACUGCCUCUGCUUUUGGUGUCUCACUCCUUUGGGAGAUUUGUCGGGGGGGGGUGGGGGGCGAAAAGCAAAGGCAGUGAUGGAGCGGGGCAGGGAGCAGGGCUGGGGGGUGCUCGGCACACACGGCCGGCCCCGGCCCCCCCCAUCCCCGUUGUUGGGCUCCCAGCCGGGGCUCGGAGGUCGUUGUGCCCAUCAGCCGGCAUCUGCUGCCCUCUAGAGCCCGCAGCCGAGCGGAGAAGGAAAAAGCCGGUGGGGAAAAGCAAGUCCCGGCAACGACGUGCGAGCAACGGGACGUCUGCCAGGGCUGCGGAGCGGUCCGAGGGGCUGCGGGUAUGGGACGGGACCCGCACGGCUGCGGGUGGCAGCAGGACGGGCAUCGCUGAGUGCGGAGAUCCCUUCUCCGUCAGCCCCGGCUGCGCGGCUGCAGGCAGCGCUCGGAUCUUGCUGCAGCACGUUGCUCACGGGGGGUCAUCCCACGGCCAGGAGCUGUCAGACAGCACGCCGGGUAAAACCGCAGGGUGCCGAGGCUGGAAUUGGGGAUGUGCUCUAAAUGGAGGACUUGUUGCUCGGGUGGUGUUUGAUGCAGCCCACGUCACACGUCUUGUUUGCAGGGAACAGAUGCUCUGACCUCCCAGCUCUGGGCCCUCCCGCACCACUCCUCUGCACCCCUUAUUGGCCCCACCUGCGCUCCUUUCCCGAGCAAUUCCUCUCCAUCCCACCACUCUCUAUUCUGCCCCCGUGCGCCUCAGAGGAGCCGCAUCCCUUAACGGGCGGUGAGAACCCCGUCCUCCGUUUGCUGCCCCCAAAACGCUUUCAUCCCUCCCCACGAGAAGAGGGGAGGCUCUGUUGGUAGCGGCAAUAUCAGUUCGGCGCAGUGUCCGCCGUUGGGCUUCGUUGUUAAUCAGAGCCACGGGGGUCGGAAAGGCCCUUUCGGAUCCCCGCGCCCACCGACACAUCGCUCAGCGCCACAUCCCGGCGGCUCUGAGGUGGGGCGGUGACCGCAGCGCCGAUCGAACGGGGCACCGAAUCACCGAACCUCGGCAGCGCUGCAGGGACGGACGCGAUCCGCCCGGCCGUGCGAGGGAUGGGGACGGGACGGAGCAGCCCGGGGGACGGAAGGGCGCUAGAGGGCACGAGCGCUCUGCUCGGAAAUCGCGUUGGCACUUCUUGCACAACUUCCCGU